rnacentral:rRNA from 5 species
AAAUUGAAGAGUUUGAUCAUGGCUCAGAUUGAACGCUGGCGGCAGGCCUAACACAUGCAAGUCGAACGGUAACAGGAAGCAGCUUGCUGCUUUGCUGACGAGUGGCGGACGGGUGAGUAAUGUCUGGGAAACUGCCUGAUGGAGGGGGAUAACUACUGGAAACGGUGGCUAAUACCGCAUAACGUCGCAAGACCAAAGAGGGGGACCUUCGGGCCUCUUGCCAUCAGAUGUGCCCAGAUGGGAUUAGCUAGUUGGUGAGGUAACGGCUCACCAAGGCGACGAUCCCUAGCUGGUCUGAGAGGAUGACCAGCCACACUGGAACUGAGACACGGU